GAUGAAGAACGUAGCGAAAUGUGAUAAGUAGUGUGAAUUGCAGAAUUCAGUGAAUCAUCGAAUCUUUGAACGCACAUUGCGCCCCUUGGUAUCCCGAGGGGCAUGCCUGUUCGAGCGUCAUUUCACCACUCAAGCCUGGCUUGGUGUUGGGCGACGUCCUCUUUGGGGACGCGCCUCGAAACGCUCGGCGGCGUGGCACCGGCUUUAAGCGUAGCAGAAUCUUUCGCUUUGGAAGUCGGGGCCCCGUCUGCCGGAAGACCUGCUCGCAAGGUUGACCUCGGAUCAGGUAGGGAUACCCGCUGAACUUAAGCAUAUCAAUAAGCGGAGGA
rnacentral:misc_RNA from 1 species